rnacentral:rRNA from 1 species
UACGAAGGGGGCUAGCGUUGCUCGGAAUUACUGGGCGUAAAGCGCACGUAGGCGGUUUCUUAAGUCGGGGGUGAAAUCCUGGAGCUCAACUCCAGAACUGCCUUCGAUACUGGGAAACUUGAGUUCGGGAGAGGUGAGUGGAACUGCGAGUGUAGAGGUGAAAGUCGUAGAUAUUCGCAAGAACACCAGUGGCGAAGGCGGCUCACUGGCCCGAUACUGACGCUGAGGUGCGAAAGCGUGGGGAGCAAACAGG